GGGGGAAUCCUCCUGACGAGGGGAACAAGGCGCAGAGUAAGCAAACUGUCGCAUUUCAAUCUCCGGUAAAGAAGAAAUAGGAAGCUCAAGAGACACGGUCCUCUUAGGUCUAACAGAGAAUUUCGGAAUAGGCAAAGAACUAGGUGGUGGUGAAUUCGAAUAAGUCGGGCCGGCCCAAAGUUCCGAAAGCAAAAAACUCCCAUUAGCAUCAACAAAAGCUACCUCCUUUCUACAACCAUUGUCAUUGAUAG
rnacentral:lncRNA from 1 species